UUCAACGGAGAGUUUGAUCCUGGCUCAGGACGAACGCUGGCGGCGUGCUUAACACAUGCAAGUCGAGCGGUAAGGCCUUUCGGGGUACACGAGCGGCGAACGGGUGAGUAACACGUGGGUGAUCUGCCCUGCACUUCGGGAUAAGCCUGGGAAACUGGGUCUAAUACCGGAUAUGACCUCCUAUCGCAUGGUGGGUGGUGGAAAGAUUUAUCGGUGCAGGAUGGGCCCGCGGCCUAUCAGCUUGUUGGUGGGGUAAUGGCCUACCAAGGCGACGACGGGUAGCCGACCUGAGAGGGUGACCGGCCACACUGGGACUGAGACACGGCCCAGACUCCUACGGGAGGCAGCAG
rnacentral:rRNA from 1 species